rnacentral:rRNA from 1 species
GACAGAGGAUGCAAGCGUUAUCCGGAAUUAUUGGCGUAAAGAGCUUGUAGGCGGUUUGUCGCGUCUGCUGUGAAAAUCCGGGGCUCAACCCCGGACUUGCAGUGGGUACGGCAGACUAGAGUGUGGUAGGGGAGACUGGAAUUCCUGGUGUAGCGGUGGAAUGCGCAGAUAUCAGGAGGAACACCGAUGGCGAAGGCAGGUCUCUGGGCCACUACUGACGCUGAGAAGCGAAAGCAUGGGGAGCGAACAGG